AAAGAUGGCUAAUUUUGAGUGGUUCAUGAAUAACUGCGUUCACAGCACUCACCAUUUCCUUUGGAGACGUAUAUCCAUCAGUGUUCAUGUAGAAUAGGUGAAGUAUUCUGCACGCCUUCCAAAAUAAGUCCUUGCAGCUUCGAGGAAUUACAGAUCCUUCCUUCAGCACUAGCCUUAGCAAUUCUCUCCGCGAAGUUUCGACAGAUCUCUUAAUCUCCAUUUUAGCCUCUUCUAUGGAGGCGGAAGAGCCGGCCUGAAGAACGAGGAGAGAGACGCUGUUCAACUUUCCUUGUUUACCUUCUCUCUGCACCAGUUUGCAGUAAUAAGCGUCCAAAUGAUAAUGAUUAAAAACCACAAGGAGCUUGAAGAGAAAGUGGGGGAACAAAAUUAAGGCUCUAAUAGGACGGGAAUUCGCUUCCUCCAAUCUAUUUGUGUUACUAAAUUUUGCACUUCCUCCAAUCUAUUUGUGCUUACUAAAUUUCGCACUUCCUCCAAUCUAUUUGUGCUUACUAAAUUUUGCACUUACUGCUUGUAUUACCUCGUAACUUUGCAUGUCGUUUAGAAGACGGCCGCAUAUGCUCACAAGUCUGAACAAUUCAUGGUAUUCUGGAUCUGCAACGGCCUCUUCCGAAAGCUUUGGACCAACAAAGUAGAGAGCCGGGAGAAGGACGGGGCCCAGAGCAAAGGAAACAAAUCCAUUUUCCAUAUACUGCUCUAUUGUGGGUGCCGUUUUGUUCCUCAUCCACUCUGCCUCUUCCAUCAUGGUCCUUAUCGCGCUAAGCCACUGUCGUUUGCAUUGCUAUGCGUCAAAGUCUUUUCAAGAUAAAUGGUUCCCGGUUUAAAUUGAGACACAGGUUAUUCCUACAAUACAUAUAUACCCUGUAAAAUAUGAAUUCUCAUACAAUCUGAAUUGUGAAAAAGUCGGUUUUGUAUUUGCAAAAAGAUUUUCUGAAGAGAAGCAUCAUAGCAAGGGUUGUAACAUGCUUUUGGAAUGGUGCAUGUGAAAACUCGCAUAUUGCAGGGAUUUACAGGCGAUUUUGCAGGGGAAUAUAUGUAAAUGUCUGAAUUCGGUAAGUUGUAAGAUCUCACUAUUUCAACUAGGUGGCCGGUGACGCUGCGAUUUUGUACUACUGACGCCUUAGCUCCAAGCUCAUUGAUUGUGCUGUAAACAGCAGAAAACAAAAUCUCCACGUGCUCAGAGCAGAACUCCUUUUCGUGAUUUCCAUCCCAUCUGUCACAAGUACAAAGGUGCACUUUAAGUAAAUAAUGUGUAAAAUAAUCUCAGAAGAACAGCGGAUCAUUAGUAUAAGCAAGAAAAAUCGUACUUCUCAACUAAACUGAUGAGGUUUUCUAAUUCUUCUCUUGAUCCACCUACGUCGAAGAAGUCGUCAACCACAGUGGUGAGCAGACUAUUUUUGGUCCAUGACAUGCGAGCAUCGGUUAAUUCAGGAGGAUAUAAAGUAGCGGCAGCAGAGAGGUAACAGUAUGUUAGCUUAUCCCGAGCAAAUCCUAGCUGAUCCAACCUGUUUUCUCUGACCCAGCUGUUAAAAUCACAAAUUUAGAUUAGGAAAGCACAAUGCUGGCGUUAAAUGUAAUAAAAAUAAGGAACUUGCUUUUGCAUGCGCACUUAACAAAAGCAUAUUUGUGAAGGAAAGUGAGUGGAAGGGCAUAUAGGCACAUAUUGGAUAUUCAAAGGACAUUGGCAACAAUUUCAACUUAAGAAGGGUCUGCGAGCAAACGUGUUUAUUUCGAGAGAUAUUUAUGCAACAAAAUAACCCUAAAAAGAGAAUCCAUAAGAUGGACAGACCUCUGAAGAUGUUGAAGUUCUUUCUGAUAUAUAGACUGACAACUACUGAAAUCUUCAAUUGCCAAUUUAAGAAGAUCAUCAGAAGUGCAGAAAGACCUGAUACAGUUCAAAAGCAAAAAUUACUGGCAGAAAUCCAAAAAUCAGAAAAAAAAAGGUUUUAUCCUAUUUAUGAUUAAAUUCUUACUUAUAUGAUGUUUUGAGAAUCUGAUAAUUGGCAACAUCAAAGUUCUCGAUGUUUCUCUUGUGUUCUAAGCGUUCCAAAUUGGCGUAAAAGGGAAAUUUAAGAACAUAAUCUGCCUGAAAAUAUAAAAUAGAAUUAGUUUCAACUCUCAAUCAGACAACUAAAAUUUUUUUUUCCCCAAAAAACAUAUUAAGACUAUCAAAUACCUACCUCUUGGGAGAUAACUCGGGAAGAAUGUUUUGAAUUAGAAGAUACUUCCUCUUUUAGGAAACUACUGGACCAGGAACCCAGUUUAUCUAAGACUUGUUCACAGUCCAGGAUUUUAAUCUGUGAUGCCUUGUGAAAUUCUAGAACAGUUUUCAUAUCUUUCAGAUAUCCUUGCACGGAAUUAUGGAAAUUAUGCCCAUCUGCACAAUCGUCAGCAAUAGAUUAAAAACCCAUGGGCAUAAAAUACAUAUGUUGAUAACCAAGAUUCAGAAAGCUAGUUCCUUCGGGGCCCGAAUUACCUGAAGAAACAUCAUAUCCGUUCAUACGCAAAAGACGAAAUGCCAUAGCACACGCCGUCAUAUCUGAACUAAGUUCCUCAUCGUUCUCCAACCAGCAUCUGCAUAUUUAGAUGACGGCAGCUUGUAAAAUCUAGAGAUAUUGCACACAUCUCAACUUAAGGGUAUUUUUGUAAGGAACUCCACUCUAAAUGGGGUGUAUAAAAAUUAAGAUUAUAACAAGGGGUACGUAUGUGUAAACAGAUCAUUUUGCAGAAAUACCUCUAUAUAUAUUUCUAAAACUGCAAUUCAUAUUUAGAAGCUAUUUCUAGCGUAAUACCUGUAUAUUCUGUCCAAGAUGGUCUUUAUCUCAUAAGCAAACAGCCGAGAAAUUCCCAACUUUUCAAGAGUGUCGACCAUGCAAAGCUGCGUAUGCAUCUCAAACGGAUAAACGGUAGGAACUGCAGAAAGGAAAAUGAUAUUAGAAAUACCGUAGCAUUUCCACAUAUGCGACAGACAAAAUUUAUCGAUUAGAGAGUAGAAUCGAAUCCACCUGAGCUGCCAAACCGCCGUAAAAUAGCAUGCAGGUAGUCAAGAGCUUUAACAUCAUAACGAUGGGUCAAUGCGACAGCUGUUGUUGCAGGUGAAUUGAACAACGAUCCGUUCUUCCUCUGAUACUUCAUAACCUCAUUCCAGUCCUGCAAAUUCCCUAAUCCUUCGGAUACAUACGCCAUGUACGCUUUUCGUCCCUCGGAAUUGUUUGCAGAAUCCCUAAAAAAUCAAUAAUACCGAUCACAACAUAAAUGCCAUUUACAAAAAAAUGUGCAUCCUGAGUGAAAUUAAUGAUAUAAGAUUCUGUUAAAUAUAAAAAUGUUUAAAUACCGUUCUCUAAUAGCUUAAGUUCUUAGAGUAUAACGGUUGUUUCACAGAUUCAAACAAAAUUUACAUUGGAAUAACCAGGGAGCCUGACCUUUUCAAUUCUAAAUCUCGAAGGCAAAGAAUAUCCUGAAUAGCAUGCUGUCUUAUGGGAAUAUCUAAACCCAAAUCGAUUGCACGUUCAAGCAUGCCAGGGAAAAUGAUAUUGAAGCCGACAGGAGACUGAUAAUUCUCAUCCAUAAUACAUGACAAAUUAGAUCCAAUAUAAUGUAGCCCUGCAAUAAGUCGAAAAAAAAUGAAGCUUCUUAAUCCAUUGAGCAAAACACAAUGUUAAUGAGUAAAUGUUCUGUUUCCUAAUACCUCUUCUUACGUGCUCUUCACCGACAUUCCAUCGCUUGAGCGCGAGUACACUUGCCAAUGUGGAAGAUAGAGCAUCUUUAAUCAAAGAGGGAUGGAUAUGGUCAAGUCCCCAGGAUCCAUUAGAAUUUUGAUUUUGUAACAUCCAAUCGACGCACUGAGGGAAGCACGGAGUUUGAGGAGAUCCAGGAGAAGGGACCAUGGCAACCCAUGCCGUGUCAUAUGAAGAAACUGAAUAUUCGACCUUACUUAGCUGCUCCCUUAUUCGUUUCUCCGAUUCCCUGGAACACUACAGCCACGUCUAAUAAGAUGCUUAAUUCAACCACAAAUUUAUUGUAUGGAGAUUUCAAAAUAACAUGGGAUCAAUAAAUCUAAUACCGUUACUGAGAGGUUCGCGCUGCUUUCUUCUUUCCCAUCAUCCCAAUUUGCUGUAUAUGAAAACGAAGCAUUCGGCAAUCAGCAAAAGAGAAAUAAAUGUAACACCAGAGCAAGUGAAAUAUGCAAAUGUCUUUUCGUAAUUAUUCCAACCAACCUAAUUAGAAGUUGUCAUGAUAUAACUAGAUCUAACACAUGCUGCAAUUUGAAGAUAAUCUCAUAUUUGGCAUUUAACAUAUUCUCCUUAAAAAAAAAAUACACAACUUUAAGGUAUCGUUUGGUUCGGGGAUAAGCAAAAAAUGGCUAUUCCAGGGAUAGGUAUAAAUUGAGGUAUAAGCGGGGAUUAGAUCAAUUUUGCGUUUGGAUGAAAAUUGGGUAAUUGCUGUGAAUAAAAGAAAUAGCGUUUGGUUAGGUAAAAUAGAAUAAGAAGGAUAGUGGGUUUUAUAAAUAAAAAGUAAUGAUAUUAUCCUCUUAUUAUAUUUGAAUUUGAAUUUUUAAAAUUUUAAAUUUAUAUUUUUAAAUUUAAAAUUUUAAAUUUUAAAAUUUGAGAAAUUUGAAAUUUAAAAUAACAAUUUUAAAUUUUAAAUUUCAAACUUUAAAUUUAAGAUCAAAUUUAAAUUUGAAAAAUAUAAAAAUAAAUUUUAAAUUUCAAAAAUAAAAUAUCAAAAUUUCAAUAUUAAAAUUUAAAAUUUAAAUUUAAAAUUAUAAACUUUAAUUUGAGAUUAUAAAUUAUAAAUUUUAAAAUUUAAUUUUUUUUUUUAAAAUUUUAAAUAAGAAUAAGGGUGGGAACUUAAUUAAUAAAUAAUUUACUAUAAUAAAUUUAUAAAUUUUUUAAAAUUCUAAUCAAACUUAAUUUAUAAAGGAAUUAUUAUAAUUUUAUUAUAAUAUUUAAAUAUAAAUAAUAUGUAUUAAUAUAGUACAAUUAAUAAUUUUAUAAUAAAAAUAAUGUAUUAUAUAUAUAACAUAGUGAUAAUUGCCUAUAUACCCUUCAUGCGUUCGGAAAUAUCGAUCUACCCCUACUCUUUUUUUUCUUUCUAAAAUUGUCCUCAUACGUUCCACCGUUAUUCCAAAAUACCCCCGCAGUUUAUCCCCUGUUAGCUUAACUCGGGUUAAACAUGGGUUAAUACUAUAUAGAGUUAAAACCUGACAAAAUACUAUAUUUGCCCCUACUUUAUUAUAGUAAUCCCUAAAGAUGUAUCCUCUUUCUUCCCAAUUUUGUCGCCACCACGGCCGCGCUCCUCCGCCUCUACUCACCUCCUCGCCUCAUCUCCUCCCAAACCACCACACUCCCACACCUCCACUCCAACACACCCAUCUCGUCGUCUCGUUGUCCUCCUCCGCCGCCGCUCUCGUCGUCGCCGUCGUCCUCUUCCUCCGCCGCCUUGGCCGGCGCCGGGAGCAAGAGGGCCGCAGCGACGAUCCCAUCUCUCGCCGCUCUCGUCGUCCUUCUCCUCAUCCGCUGCCUUGGCCGGCGCCAGGAGCAAGAGGGCCGCAGCUCCAUCGGACCCCUGCACGCCUUCUGCUCCGGAUCCGGCUGAAGGGUAAAUAAGAAAAGUAUUUGCUAUAUGAAGGGUAUAUAAGAAAAGUUUGUUACGGUACAAGGGUAUAUUGGAAUGGGCAAAAUGGUAAUUUUUCAGAGCUAACGGCAGCUCACUAACGGAACUUAACUCUAGGGGUAUUUUAGAAAAACUUGGAACAUAAGAAGGGUAUUUUCAAUAUUAGCCUUCUAAGAGGGGUAAAUAAGAAAACGGAGAACUUUUCAGGGGUAUAUAGGCAAUUGCCCCUAUAACAUAUUAUAUUUAUAUAAUUUAGUUUGCUUAAUUUAUAAUUUUAAUUAAGUUUGAAAUUAAGCAUUGGAAUAGCACUAUUCCACCAAAAUGGUGGAAUAGCAUAUUCCUUGCUAUUCCGGAAUAACUGGGAAUAGCAAGAUUUGACCGGAAUAAAAUAUUCCGGCCAUAUUUCAUCCCGUUUGGUGGAAUAGCGGGGAUGUUAUCCCCGCUUAUCCUCCGAACCAAACGGGGCCUAAUUGUCUUAUUGAGACAAAUGUAAAUAAUAUAAUUUAAUGCCACAUUUACUUGUAUAAUAGCAACGGUUGAAUAUCAAUAUUAAAAGCACCAUAUUCUCUUACAGAAGUAUUUCAUAAUCACAACGAUGGAAAAGCAGUGUUAGUAUAUUUCAAAAAAACUAUACAUGAGAUGCAGAACAGAACGCAUCACAUAUCCUUUCAUACACAAAAAAAUUUAACUUAAAAAAUGGUUCUACCUGACGAAACUCGCGGAAGAGAUGCUCUAACUGUUUUUUUAGCUCUAACUCUAGAAAUUUGAAUAUCUGAAGAUCGGAUGCAGCACAGGGGAAAUGAGAGAGCAUUUAACGACAUGGCCACUCAGGUUUAUGUGAAAUUAAUGGUGAUCUGCGACGAGAUAGCAGCAAACUAAGAGGCAUCAAAAAAUGAUUAAGAAUUUUCGAGAAAAAUACUGCAGGAAAAAAGAAAGCAUAGCUAGAAGAAAGAAUCCAACCAAUUAAGUAAACGAAAAUUAAAGUAACUCAAUUAAGGAUAGACUAAUCAAAGUAAAUCAAACUAAUUAAUGCGUCGAUAAUAAAAGGUGACAAAAAUGUACAUGAACCCUCUCGUUGUCCAUUUUACUUGUCGUUAGCAUUCCUUCGGUUUUUACUUCUUAAUUUCCAUUGAAGUUUUUUCUGUAAACCGGUUGAUUCAAGUUUUGUAUAAUGUUUUAGAAAUAUUGUAUAUUUUAUUACUUUGUAUUUAAAAUGACAAAUUCGUAACUAACGUAUCAAGUCACUUGGUUACGUGUCAACGACCCGUAGAUAAUAGAGCUAUUAAUUUUUACAGAACCCCAAUAUAAAUAGAUAGAAUGAUUCAAAUAAAAAAAAAAAAUUAAAAGUUGAGAGGUUUCGAUAAUUAGAAAAGAAAAAGUAAAACUAAAAUUUGCAUGUUCUAAAAGCUCUAUACAUGCGUCCAUGGCCAAGGAGAGAGAGAGAGAGAGAGAGAGAGAGAGAGAGAGAGAGGUUGCGGCGCUACCUGUUUAAUUUGUGUUCACUACCAAAGAGUAAACGGAGUGGCGAAGAAGAGAGCCUGAGGGGUAAAUAAAACAAGGUGGGGUGUGUAUAUAUACAGUGUACUAUCAGUAGCACGGAGCGCUCCGUUAUGUUCGCUUAAAUGGGCCAGCAUCCUGCCUUGUGGCAGGAGGUCAUGUGGGCCCGAGUCAUGUUCGAAAUGGCAUGAGGCUAGGUGGGCCGAGUCAUGUUCGAAGUGGCGUGAGGCUAGGUGGGCCGAGUCACAAUCGAGACCCGUGGGCGCUGUUUCUGUACGCUUUAAGUGAAUUGGUUGCGUAUUUCUAACAGCUCGAGCUUUUGGGAUUAAUGGUUAGCGUCAACAAUCCGACAAGUUGUAUCAGAGCCAGAGCUCACAGAUUUAAUUCCUGCAUGCUGCAAAUGUGCGCAGGUGCUGGAGGGGGGAUUGUUGGCUUAAAUGGGCCAGCAUCCUACCCUGUGGCAGGAGGCCAUAUGGGCCGAGUCAUGUUCGAAAUCGCGUGAGGCUGGGUUGGGCCGAGUCAUGUUCGAAGUGGCGUGAGGCCAGGUGGGCCGAGUCACAAUCGAGACCCGUGGGCGCUGUUUCUGUACGCUUUAAGUGAAUUGGUUGCGUAUUUCUAACAGCUCGAGUUUUUGGGAUUAAUGGUUAGCGUCAACAAUCCGACAAGUUGUAUCAGAGCCAGAGCUCACAGAUUUAAUUCCUGCAUGCUGCAAAUGUGCGCAGGUGCUGGAGGGGGGAUUGUUGGCUUAAAUGGGCCAGCAUCCUACCCUGUGGCAGGAGGCCAUAUGGGCCGAGUCAUGUUCGAAAUGGCGUGAGGCUGGGUUGGGCCGAGCCAUGCUCAAAGUGGCGUAAGGCCAGGUGGGCUGAGUCACAAUCGAGAUCCGUGGGCACUGUUUCUGUACGCUUUAAGUGAAUUGGUUGCGUAUUUCUAACAGCUCGAGUUUUUGGGAUUAAUGGUUAGCGUCAACAAUCCGACAAGUUGUAUCAGAGCCAGAGCUCACAGAUUUAAUUCCUGCAUGCUGCAAAUGUGCGCAGGUGCUGGAGGGGGGAUUGUUGGCUUAAAUGGGCCAGCAUCCUACCCUGUGGCGGGAGGCCAUAUGGGCCGAGUCAUGUUCGAAAUCGCGUGAGGCUGGAUUGGGCCGAGUCAUGUUCGAAGUGGCGUGAGGCCAGGUGGGCCGAGUUACAAUCGAGACCCGUGGGCACUGUUUCUGUACGCUUUAAGUGAAUUGGUUGCGUAUUUCUAACAACUCGAGCUUUUGGGAUUAAUGGUUCGCGCCAACGAUCCGACACGUUAUACUUGAUCUAUACUAUUAAAAGUAUUUAGAAACUAAAUAAUUUUUCGAUACCAUUUGAAAUACCUAUCAAACAAGUAGUCUAAAAUUGAACGGCUGAAAAUAAAAAUCUCAUAAAAAAUGAUGAUAAAAGAUUUAAAUUCAAGAUCAGAUAUACUGAUCUUACUCUAAAUAGUGAAAAGAAUUUUUCAUAAAAUUUUCAUCAGAUUUGAAUUGUUUUACACCGUUAAACUCUCAAACACACCACAUCGGCCAUUAAAAUUGUCAAUUUUGUGAUCUUUUGAUCACUAGUCAAAUGAUGUCGAAAAAAAUCUGAAAUUUAGUUUUCAAAUACUUUCAAUAGUGUAGAUCAGGUUUAACGUAAUCGAUCGUCGAUUUGAAAGUCGCAUCAUCAAAAACAACUUGGUAGUACGGAGCGCUCCGUGCUACCGACAGUGUAGUAGCCGGACUUAUAUAUAUAUAUUAUUAUUAUUAUUAUUAUUAUGUAUAUAAUGAUGGGAUUGGAUUUGACUUCGACUUUGCCUUUAGAAAGAGAUUUAGUGAGUAUCCAAGUAGAAUUGGAUUUAGUCUAAAAAAUAAAAAAAUUCGAUGAAAAAAAUAAGAAUUUUUUUAAAAAAACGGUGCGAUGAAAAAGAAAAGUUUUUUUGUUUUACCCGCUACUAUUUAUGUAAUUUAUUAUCUUUUUUUUAUUUUUAUUAUUUUGUUUUGUGCAUUCUCUUGUCUACCUUCCACUAUUGUGAGUCCACACCACGUGCACUCACAUAUUUUUAGGGUUAAUUACAUAUAGUUUUUAAUAAAUUAUCGAAUAUAUUACUACAAAAUUUAAUUUUUUAUAUUUAUUCUUGUAAAAAUUCGGUGAUAUUUAUAUUCCCAUCUGGUUUGUUACCGUUAGAGAUUGUUUAUUUUUUAAUAGCAGAUAGGUGAAAUAAUAUUUUUGCUCUUACAAAUAUAUUUUUUCAAAAGCCCAAGUAUUAAAAUUAUGCAGAAAUAUCCUUUCAAAAAAAUAUUUUACUUAAUAAUAUAAGAUGAGUAAAAAAAUCAAUUUAACUCAUUCACUAAUCAGAGUUAAGUAUUUCACUUAUGGUUAAUUAUAUUUUUCCCACGGAUUCUAGCAGUAGAGAUAUAUUUAAAAAUAGUAGUACUUUUGCAGAAAUAAAAAUAAAAUGUUAAACUUUGUAGAAAUAUAUUGCUAUUCAAUAUGUUCACAUAAAAUUAUAUGGAAUUAACCUUGUUUUUUAUUAGCCCUACUUUGACAUCAGCUCGCCCCAAAGUCCCUAGAAGUUAAAAGUCUAUUUGUUUGGGUAAAAAUGGAGAGGGGUGAAAUCGUUUUCCACUAUAAGCAAUCACUUUCGCUGUUUGUUUCGUCGUAAUAAAGAUACGAUCGAAACUCAAGUUGUCCGUAACAGACCGAAGUCAAUUACGGUGAGAAAAGAUGAACAGAAAAAUAAUAAAAUAAUACAAUGAAUAAUGCUAGUUAUAUUUAAAUAUAUUUAAUUAUGAGACUAAUUAUUUUUUUAUUUAGUUUGUAUAUUUAAAAUAUGAUAAAAUUUGAUUAGUUAAGUUUUAAUAUUUUCUUCAUUUAGUUUGUAAUUUAAAAUAUGAUGAGAAUUUAUUAGAUAAGUAUUUAUAUACUAUUUUACUUUAUUCUAUUGUUAUAUUAUUAUUAUAAUUUAUGUAUAAAAAGUAAUUUAGUUGUUUUAAAUUAAAUUUUUUAAUUAUAUAGAAAUAUAAUUAUAUUGUUUUAUUUAUUAUAUUAUAAUUUAUUAUUUAUUAAGUUAUUUAUUAUUUAUACAUAAAUUAUAAUUUUAGAUCACUCACUUUUUGUCAAACAUACAGCAGAACUAAAAAAAACUUACUUUCAUAACUAUGAAACAGCAGGAGAUAAGUAGUUUUUACCGAACUCCACUUCAAUCCAAAAUCUACUUCAGCCCAAAUUCUAAUUUCAGUGAAACAAACAUACCCUAGUGUAUUUAAGGUUGCAAUUGGUGGAACCCAAAGUGGACAAUGGAAAGUUGGGAUUUAUGAAUUAUUAUAGGGCUUUUUUUGCUUUUAACCAUCUCAGAAAAAAAAAAAUUUCCACAAAUAACCUCAUAAAAAUUAUAUUUACAAGAUUAACCUUAUCCUCGCCACACGAGCGCGACGUGUGUUAGGUUGGUUAAGUUGAACACAGUAAAUCAUUCAUCGUGUUUGGACACGACGAAUGAUUCAUCGUAUCUUUUUCACAUUUUACUUAUACCGUGUUCUUUUCACAUUCACCAUUUUUAUUGUAUUAUAAAUUAAAUUGAACACAGUAAAUCAUUCAUCGUGUUUGGAUAUAGUGAAUGGUCCGUCGUGUUCAACUUAAAUUCUGGAUUGUUAGUCACGCUCAUGUGUUGCUUGCGUGGUAGGGAUAAGGCCAAUUGUGCAAAUAUAAAUUUUAUGAUGCUAUUUACGAAAUUUUUUUGAGAGGCUAAAAGCAAAAAAAAAAAGGCCCAUUAUUAUAUUAUUUAUUUGAUGACUUUUUAACCCUUAUUAAAUGUAGUGGUGCUAGAUCUAUGCUGUGUACAAGUAGCGUUUUUCUUUCCCAAGUCCCUAGCUCCGAGAUCUAAACAUAAUCUUUUUCAUUUUAACUGGAGACUUUUGGACAUGAAAAAUACUAGGUAUUACUUACAAUAUUAUUUAAGUAAAAUCAUACACAACAUACUUGAACAUCGGACAAUUUUAAUUUAGCUAUCUAAUUUUUUAAAAUUUUAAUUUUAUUAUUCAAUCUUUCGAUUUGUUUGAUUUGGGCUAGGCAACAACACUUUAAUUUUAGAAUAUGAUUGUGUUAUUUAUCUUUACAAUUUUAGUUAGUAUCCUUCAAACAAUUCUCGCAACUAUAAAUUCGAUAAAUUAAGUUAUUAGCUUAAAUUUUGAAGUAAAAAAUAUCAUUGGCCAGUUCAAAUCAAACAAAUUAAAAUGUUGGAUAGUAAAAUCAAAAUUUCGAAAUGUUGAACAACCGAUUCAAAAUAGUUUAUAAUUCAGAUAUAUUCUAUACGUUUUUACCUAUUAUUUAUUGUAAAUUUCUUGUAAUAUUUUUAAACUGCUUGUCGCCAUGCUUGAGCAAAUCAAAAUUUCAUACACCCAACGGAAUCCCAGCCUUGAUUUGUAGCUGGUAGGAAAGCAGCCAAAUCCGUCCCUCAAUUGCAUCUCCCAGUACUUACUUUUUGAAAGAAAAAUAGCAUGCUAUCUAUAACGUCCCAACUUUUCAAGGAGCUAUUCAUUCUAGAACUAUUCUAGUCCUAACACGCUUAAUUUUUUUAAUCUCUUAGGCUUAUCCACCGUACAAAAUGUUAUAGUCGGGUCAAGAGUUUUAGUUUUAUUAUAUCUUAUAUAUAGAACUAUCUGAGAUUUUAUACUAUUUGUUUCGUGUUUUUUAAGAAACAAAUUUAGUUGAAAAUAUGAAUUAGCUAGGCUUCGAACUUUGAAUCUCGGAUACCCCAUCAUCAAGCCCUUUGCCUUUUGUACUAGGCACGGUCGGCCAUCUUACAGUGCUUGACCUGACAGUUGUAAAGAAGAACUCCUAUAAAUAUGUAAACCAAAGUGUAGCUUCCCCAGUACAUUAGAAAAAUGUAAGAGAAAUAAUAUUUGUACAUCCCAAAAAACAGUACAGACAUAAACAUUUCUCAUUCUUAAAUUCAUAAAACCUUUUGAAUUUUUGAUAUUAAAAAAAAAAGUCAAAAUAUAAUGUGAAACAGCUACAGUAUAAAUCAGUUACUGUCGAAAGGUUGCAUUGAGUACCCAAAAGUCUAAAAUCAUCUUCUACGGUGUCUGUUGAAGGUCCUUAAUUUCUUUGGAAUCCUUGUCUUCAUUUCUAUUAAUGUUUAUUUUGAAAAUAUGAUUGAAACCUUUUUUUUCUAAGAAAUUUUUUCAUGGUACAAAAUUUGCCACAUAGCUAGAUUAUCUAAUUCAAAGGUUUAAAUUUUACAUGCAUCCCAAUCAGGCGUGUCCUCCGCGCUAUUUCUUUUUCGUAGAAGUAUUGUUACUGCUAUCAAUCCAAGUCAAACUGCUGGUACCGGUCAAUGCAUCCUACUAUUUGUAAGUACAUAAUUUUUUUUUUUUUUUGAGAAUCGGUAGCACGCUACCUACUUCAUUCAUUGAAUAAGUGAAUUAGGCUACAGAGGUGGGGCAACCAGGGCCCCAAAUAGAGAAAAAAAAAAAAAUCAUAGAUUGUCUUUCCAAGAAUCAAUCAAGUACUUGAGCCUACGCGCCGCUAAUAUGGGGUCAAACUGAAUGUCAUGAAAGAUAAAGUUGUUCCUCGCCUUCCAAAUGGUCCACCAGCAUGCGGCCAAUUCAGAUAGACCGUCCCUUCUACUUUGUAAGUACAUAAAUUAUAGAUAAUUUUUCAUGGUGCAACCUUGUAGAGGUGAGCAAAUCAACCAUAAAUGGUGUGUUCAUAACAUCAGAGUGGGUAGCAUGCUAUCUUUUUCUCACAAAAAAAAAAAAAAAAAAAAAAAAAAGGAAAAAAAAAAAAAAAAAACAUCAGAGUGGUGCUUUUGUUUGAAACUAGAGUUCCGCUCAAAUGAAAGAUCUCCAACAAAAAGAAAUUUUGAAACUAUAUUUUAACAGUUCAUUGUUUUCUUAAACAUACCUAAAUCGAUCGUGAUCUGAAUGGUGAAAGAGCACGCAAAGUUUUUCAUAAUUUGCGUGCAACAACCGCUGGUUAAUUUACGAGAUUGGCUAAAUAAGGUGAGAAUGAAAUUGUUUUAUUAGAGUCGCUUAAUUUAAUACUGCUUUUUAAUUUCUCCUAGCAUAAUUUUUUUGGGGAUGGAUUACGCCCAAGACAUAGAAUAAUUAUUCAAUGAGAGGAAAUUAAAUAAAGGUAGGAGCUCUACCAAGACCCAAGCUUAAAAUUUCAUGCUCUGAUAUAAAAGUGAGGCUGGUAUGCUUAUGGAGGCACACGGAGCCUUCCGUGCUUUCAAGUCGUUUUCGAUGUUAGGACUUUCGAAUCAACAAUCGGCUCUAUUAGACUUAAUCUAUAGUAUUUGAAAUAUUUAGAAAAAUAAAUUUCACAAUUUCUUGAUAUUAUUUACCUAGUAAUCGAAAGAGUUCAAAAUCAAUGGCUGAAAAUAAAAAUAUUACAAAAUAUGAUGAUAUGACAUUAACAUUUUAGAUUAAAGAUAAUGAUAUUAUUUUAUAUAGUAUGAAGAAUUUUUUAUCAAAAUUUUGCGUGAUUUGAAUAUUUUUACACAGUUAAACUUGCAAACGGCUCACCGCGAUUAUUAAAAUUAUUGAUUUUUGACCCCUUCGAUCACUAUGCAAAUGAUAUUGAAAAAUUAUGAAUUUAUUUUCUAGCUACUUCAAAUACUUUAGAUGAGGCCUAACGGAGCUGAUCGUCAAUUUGAAUGUCCCAACAUCGAAAAUGACUUGGAAACACGAAGCUCCGUGCUUCCGGACGUAUACCGGCCUCACUCCAGAUAUAAUAUCAAAAAUAUAUAAAAUAAUUAUUUUUUCUAAAAAUUUAAUAUAUUAAAAAGUGAUAUCUUCUGUUUUUUUUUUAUAUUCAAAAGAUAUUAGGAAAACAGUCGUAGAGGGACAAAGGUGCAUGUUAUUUAAUUAAGCAGUCAACCUACUUAAUUAUGCUUCGAUUUUCUAAGGGGUGUAUUUUUUAUUUUUUUAUUUUUUUUGAGAGAUAGAUAGCACGCUAUCCGCUUAUUUUAUUUUAGAAAGAAAUUUAACUGAAAAUAUGAAUCAACUAGGAUUCGAACUUGGGUCUCGGGUACCAACCACCAAGCCCUUUACCACUUGUUCUAUGAACGGUCGGUCUAAGGGGUGUAUAUUAAUUGUUUGGUGCAUUACUAUAUGCAUUUUAAUAUUUUCCAAACCUAACUUUUCUUAUCCACCUGCCAAAUUGGAGCUUGAUUACAUGCUAGAUAUUAUGAAUGUAUCAUCAAGCAUCAAAUUAUGAGCUUUACUUUAAAAAAGCUCCACAUCUCAUUACUGGGUUGCAGAGGAUAUAUAUAUAUAUAGUCCAGUUGGAAUAAUGACACUAUAUUACUGGAGCCCGAUAAUAUAGAUAGUAUAGAAGUCAUAAUAAUAUAUACUCUAUUUUAUAAAUAUAAGUAAGAACAUAUCAAUCGUACCUGCAGCAAAGUGCGGAUGAAUUGCUAGUUCGAUUCUAAACAACAAAAUAUACAUUCAUUCAGUUCCUGUUAGGAACAACAAAUAUACAUGGAUUCAGGUUCAAGUUAGGAAUUUGUAUUUGUAUUUUCGCCGGGAAUAGCUGACAAAAGAUGGCUGAUUUUGAGUGGUUCAUGAAUAACUGCGUUUACAGCACUCACCAUUUCCUUUGCAGAUGUAAAUCCAUCAGUGUUCAUGUAGAAUAGGUGAAGUAUUCUGCACAUCUUCCAAAAUAAGUCCUUGCAACUUCGAGGAAUUACAGAUCCCUCCUUCAGCACCAGCCUUAGCAAUUCUCUCCGAGAAGUUUCGACAGAUCUCUUGAGCUCCCUU
rnacentral:lncRNA from 1 species